rnacentral:lncRNA from 1 species
UAGACCACACCUCCUGCAUGAAUCUUUGUUUAUGCAUAUUUUUCCUUUUCACAAUAUUUAUGUUUCAAAUAUUUUUUCCCUUCCAAUGUAAUGUGCCUAUUCAAAGUUAUCAAUAAAAAGAAGUUUGUUUAUCUUGUGCACGUGUUUUCUAUUUAUAUUGUGACUAACCAUGACAGGAAAGAAAACAAGUGUGGGGGAAGGACUAUUCAAUCAAAAAUUUUGGUUUGUGCAAACCCUCUUCCCCAAAAGAUUUUCAAAUGAAAUGUUUAAAAUGAUGUUACCUUCGUACUCCAUCAAACAUGUCUCCUAUGUUCAAAUUUGUUUUUGCAUACUUUUUAUUCUUAGCUAAUAUCCCUAGAGAUUUAUGAACACUUGUUAUAGGGACCCCAUUUUAUCUAAGUAAUUGACAUUUGUGAUAUAGUAGGAUGACACGAUGCUUGGUGGUUCUUUCAAAUUACUUGGGUUUUCUUUUAUAAAAAGCAAAAUUCAAUAGCAUGUUUCUUGAAUAAUCAAGCUUUAUUUCUACCAUGGCCAAAUAUUUGUUCAUGAUUAAACCUUCUACAUAUGCUGCUUGCUCUGUGUUGAGUUUGGUCAAAUUUUUGGACCACUGUCGAGAGAUGUUUCAUGCCUCUAAAAUCAGAAUUCACUUGCAACCACCAUAUAAAAGCCGACUCUCACACUGAGAAGUCGCGCACAACAUGCUUUCUCCAUCCACCCAAAAUUUCGCCAACUCUUACACUGAGGGUUGCGCACAUAUAUCCACCAAAUAAAAAUGCCAAUAUCUCACCCUGAGAAUUGUGCAUUCAUAUACAUUCCUUGCAUUUGUUAUCAUAAAGCUCUCUUUUGUUUUCAUCAGAAUCAAAGGAAUGGGCUAUAUAUAUAAAAAAAAUAAAAAAAAUAAAAUUUGUGUUAUAGCCCAUAUCCUCUCAAGUUUUUCAUCUCAUUUCAAAAGAGAGUCUUGAUGCAAGGAAUGUUGCAAUAAAAGUAGUGAUAGAAUUCCACCAAAAAUUCCACACACUUGGACAUUCUGAUCUAAGGGUAUGGCGCACUCCCUCUGGUAUGGUCCUGGGUUUGACUCGACAACAUAUGUAGGGUAAGUAAGUUCCACCAUCAUACCUACCCAAAACUCCAGAUAAGCCUUUUAGAAGUAGGAUGAUCAAAAAGAAGGCAUCAACUCUUUUUGCCUUGGUAAGGAACCACUGACAUAUUAGGAUGGACUUGAGAGCAUCAUUCAAGAAACAUAUGCUAUAUUUAUUUUUCAAAAUCUUGCAAAACCCCGAGUUUUUGCGCAGGGACUAUGUAAGAGGAUUUGAAUCCAAGCUGUUCCAUGUUUCAAUUACCCAAGAUAGCUUGGUAGAUACUAUGAAGUUCAUAAAUCCAGGUGAAGCUGGGAAUAACCUGUAUGUAGAUUCUUUUGACAAGGAAGAUGAACCCAUUUGGUCUUUAGUUCCUUCACUCGAGGACGAGCAAAGGACCAAGUGUGGGGG